AAACUCAAAGGAAUUGACGGGGACCCGCACAAGCGGUGGAGCAUGUGGUUUAAUUCGACGAUACACGAAGAACCUUACCUGGACUUGACAUAGUAAGAACUUUCUAGAGAUAGAUUGGUGUCUGCUUGCAGAAACUUAUAUACAGGUGCUGCACGGCUGUCGUCAGCUCGUGUCGUGAGAUGUUGGGUUAAGUCCCGCAACGAGCGCAACCCUCGUCAUUAGUUGCUAACAGUUCGGCUGAGAACUCUAAUGAGACUGCCUACGCAAGUAGGAGGAAGGUGAGGACGACGUCAAGUCAUCAUGGCCCUUACGUCCAGGGCUACACACGUGCUACAAUGGGGUAUACAAAGAGCAGCAAUACAGUGAUGUGGAGCAAAUCUCAAAAUAUCUCCCAGUUCGGAUUGUAGUCUGCAACUCGACUACAUGAAGUUGGAAUCGCUAGUAAUCGUAGAUCAGCUAUGCUACGGUGAAUACGUUCCCGGGUCUUGUACUCACCGCCCGUCACACCAUGGGAGUUGAACUCAUUCGAAGCGGGGAUGCUAAAGUAGCUACCUUCCACAGUGGAUUCAGCGACUGGGGUGAAGUCGUAACAAGGUAACCGUAGGAGAACCUGCGGUUGGAUCACCUCCUUUAUG
rnacentral:rRNA from 1 species